rnacentral:rRNA from 1 species
UACGUAGGGUGCAAGCGUUGUCCGGAAUUAUUGGGCGUAAAGAGCUCGUAGGCGGUUCGUCGCGUCGGCUGUGAAAUCCCGGAGCCCAACUCCGGGUCUGCAGUCGAUACGGGCGGACUUGAGUUCGGCAGGGGAGACUGGAAUUCCUGGUGUAGCGGUGAAAUGCGCAGAUAUCAGGAGGAACACCGGUGGCGAAGGCGGGUCUCUGGGCCGAUACUGACGCUGAGGAGCGAAAGCGUGGGGAGCGAACAGG